ensembl:lncRNA
AUGGCUGCCUGGAGGAGGUGGCAUUUCAGUUUAACUUUAACGGGACACAAAGAAACUUUCCUUCAGCAGCUCGGUGGAACCCUGUCCCUCAACACAUCCUGCCCAAGGGACGUGGGUCUGAAGGAGCUACCCAAUUCACGGAGAAGGAAACUGAGGGCAGGCAAGGAGGAGGAGCGGCCAAAGAGUCGGCGGCGCGGGGAUUCGAACAGCCCGCCCGCCGGCACGCCUGCGCUCGGUCGCUGGCGCGCACCCCGGCCCCACCCGUUGCCCUGGAAACGGCCCCGCGCACGCGCACGCGCGCGCGCACUGCCUUCCCUUGCUCGUUCUUCCGGAGCAUCCUCGUUACUUUUUUUCUCAAUAAAAACCCGAGGCGGCGGGAUACUGCCAGCGACCGAACGUGCUGUCGAAGGACGCCGUUACGUCCGCUCUCCGCCCGGGGCCGCGAAUCCCUCCGCCGCCCAGCGGCCCGCGCGCUCCUUCCCGACUCCGAGCUCGCAACGGCUUCCCGCGCGCCGCGCCGCGCCCCACCCCCACCCUAUCCCCACCNCCCCCAGCCCGGCUCACCUGCCGCCCGCGUCUCCAUGGCAACGCCCCCGCCGCGGAGGGAAAAAAAAGCGUCGGGCUCUUCCGGGCCCCCUCCCGCGCCGACCGAGAAGGCGGGGCGCCCCACUGAUGCUUCGCUUUUUAUUUUUAUUUUUUUAAGAAAAGAGCCGGCGCGGUUAUGGCGAAUCUGCGGCAUCCAACAUGGCGGAUGGAGUCUUCGCCCUCCUCUUCCCCGGGCGCUGACGUCGGCGUCGCGGACGUCAGGCUCGGAUGACCCUCCCCCCAAGCGGCGAGAGCGGCCGGGCGGGCCGGGCUAUUGCGCGUGCGCCGACUCGGUGUCCUGGCUUCGCUAUCCGGUUCCGCAGAUAUGCCGGCUCCGCGUUUUGAGCCUCUCCCGAAAGGGGGCUCACCGGAGGCCGGGAGUGAGGAUUGCAGGAGCGCAAGUCUGCCCUGCUCUGCCCGGAGCCGGCGUCUGCCUGUCACCCCCAUCCUUGGACCGCACCGGGCUGGACGAAGGAGAGUUUCAGCUCUCUUGUCCCAGUUCGCAGCGAUAUGACUUUUCUUGGCUUUCAUUUAUUUACUAAUUUAUCAAUCGGGGCGGUCACAGCCGGCCUCGCUCUCUCUUUCCAAGGUUGCACUGUUUGCAGAUGCUUUGCGAUAGGAGUCAGUUCAGUUCAGUCGCUCGGUCGUGUCCGACUCUGCACUGCAGCGCGCCAGGCCUCCCUGUCCAUCACCAACUCCGGAGUUUAUGCAAACUCCUGUCCAUCGAGUCGGUGAUGCCAUCCAACUAUCUCAUCCUCUGUUGUCCCNNNNNNNNNNNNNNNNNNNNNNNNNNNNNNNNNNNNNNNNNNNNNAGUGAGUCAGUUCUUCGCAUCAGGUAGCCAAAGGAUUGGAGCUUCAGCUUAGAUUUAGUCUUACAGAUAGAAUUCAGCAGCUGGAACCCCCUCGACCGAGCGCCUGGCUUCUCUCCGCGCUCCAGACUAUCUUGCAGAAAGUGUCGGCUGGCUGUGAGCCCGCCACCCCAUCACUUAACCUCUCCCUGAAUCUGGCUCGCAGCCUUCUCUCUGCAAGCCGCAGCAUCUGCUUGACUUGUAAUGACCUCCUUUUCCUUUUCGGUCUACAACUUUCUUCAGAUCUCUGCUCAAAUGACAUACUGUAGCGGGCCCUGCCGGGCCACCCCAUCCAAAGGAACCUUCCUAAGUCACUUUCUGUUUUCUCCGUAGGAUUUAUUACUGUCUGACAGUAAUUUAUCCCGAUAUCGUCCGGGUCACCCCUUUGGCCACCAAAACUAGGAACAGCCUGACAGUGAUUUAUUAAAUUAAUGAGUUCCUGUUGCUUUUAUUUUAAAAGGUUAGCUUCUGUUUAUAGCAAAUAACGUCUUUCAUUUAUGGUAGUAAUCGUGUAAAGUUUUCUUUUUAAAUCCAACUUGUUUACAUUUUCUAAAAUCAGUCAACUUAAAAUCGUUUAUGUGGUAACAGAGAUAAGGUAAAAUAAAUGUAAACGUGAACUUGAAGUGAGAAAUUUGGGAAAUACUGAUUUGUUUUUCUGGUUCUCCUGAAAUGCUAAUCUUUGCCUGUUGUAAGCCUUUUCCUGAAAUAACCUCCCCUCCUUGCGGCUCAGUUUAAGGAAUUCUCUUUCAGCUCAUGACUGUUCCCACACUCCUGCUCACACUUCGGNNNNNNNNNNNNNNNNNNNNNNNNNNNNNNNNNNNNNNNNNNNNNNNNNNNNNNNNNNNNNNNNNNNNNNNNNNNNNNNNNNNNNNNNNNNNNNNNNNNUCAGCUCAUGACUGUUCCCACACUCCUGCUCACACUUCGGGCCUGCACCAUCCCAAGCCCGCUGAAUUUAUCUGUUUGCACAGCCCCCUCCCAGUGAUCUAGACCGUGAACUUCUUGAGCACAGGAGCCACGCAGAUUUUUUUUUUUAAUCUUUGUUUCCCAGCUCCUACUGCAGUGUUACUCAGUGAACACAUUGGUUCUCAUUGGCACUUGUUUCACAGUUAGUAAAACUCCCACGAACAUCCCACAACUCUGGGAGAUGGUGAGGGACAGUUCCCUGGCGUGCUGCAGUCCAUGGGGUCGGGAAGAAUUGGCCACGACAUGGCGACUGAACAGCAGCACAGAGCAUUGAGCUGGAAGACGAUGCUUUGAUUUAUCGGGAAAUUUGUCUUGCUCCUUAACCCUGUUCUUGGGAAAUAGAGACCCAAGAUUAUAAGACCCCAAAUUUACCCAGUCCAUUAAAUAUAUCUUAAGAGGUAUCCCCCUACCCCUUCCUUUUAUCUUCACAACAAUAGGAGGGCUAAAUUGGACAAAUAAGAAUAUCCUUUUCAAGAGAAAAAUGUGCAGAGAGGUUAGGUGGCUUUCUGAGCUCACGCAGCAGGUCAGUGGAACCCCAGGUGUAGAACUGGACUCUCCAUGCCCAAUACUCUCCCCACAUCGCAUGUGGGAUGUGUCUACGCUACCCACCCAUUCCCAACAGGGCCACUUCAAGGCAAUCCUAAGGUUAUUGCAACACACCCACCGCCUCCCACAGUGCUUCCCAAGUCUCAAGAUAGAUGGCUGAGUGGAACUCAUCACAGUCUUUGAUUUGCAAAUGAACUGCUCAAAAAGCUGCACGGAUGAGUGUUCCCUUUCAGACGGAUAAAUAUUUGCAAUAACCACUAUUUUGCUGUGAAUCGAUUUCUGUCAGGAAAUUAGAGUUAUUCUGAGUUGCUGACAGUAUUGGUUUUGCGCUGGGUUGCCUUUCUAACAACAGCAUUUAAAUGUUAGUUAUUAAUUAGCCAAUGGGUUACUCCUCGAUGUUGUGACCAAAAUGAGUUUUGGAAAUGAAGCAAUUUAAAAUUUGUCUCAAAACCCAGUUGCCUCAGAAUAUUAAUAAAGUCAAAUUUUAAAAAAAUAGUGGAUUGUGAAUGAUAUUCCUGAAUUAAUGAUUUGGACAGCUAUGAUUUUCUCUGUUAUUCUCAUGGUAUUUUCCUUCUUCUCUGUUCAAAGAAGGAUCACUGAGCCCCUAUCAUUACUGGCCACAGGCAUAUAGAAAUGACCAAGGGACAGUCCCUUUCUACCAGACCAGAUUUGCAAAUGGAGAGAUGACUCCGCCCAUGGCUCUGCUGAGUGAUUGGCUUGUAUUCAGUCAGUAAACAUCUUUAUACUCGCCAUUUUUGUACUGUUCAAUUAGUGAAGGCACAUUAAUAGAAGUAAAUAUAAAUUGCUCAAAAUUGUCUAAGUAAUAGCAUCCUGCUUCAGCGACAGUUCCUAGAGGGCGUAAGCCUCCCAGCUUGCCCUCUGGUGGCCUCUUCAGCCUCUCAAGACAGGCACCGGAGUGAAUUUGUGCCAGAAAUGUAUUACAUGAAAUGACAUUUCAUUAUGCAAUAAUAAAUUAACAUAGUUGAAUACAUUUGUGUCAAUAGUUUUAUAAUUAUAUCUAAUAGCUAUAUGGCAAACAUGCAUUUACAUGAAGCCAGAAUAAUUUGUAUACAUAAUUUUAUGUUUUCUUGAAUGCAGAUUUUGAUAAAGGAUACGUAAGAGGGGCUCCAAAAUAAUGGACCUGGAGGCACAGUGCUAAAAUUCAGAGGUUGGAGUAAUCACAGUCUGAGUGAAGGGUUAAAAAUCUGAACAGACACGUUGUAGGGAAGAAUCCAUUUAAAAUUGUAUAUAAAAAAAGAUGUAAUAUUCAAACGAUUUGAGCAAUUUGAGAACAUAAUUAUGAUCUUAGGAUGCAAUGUCUUUUCUCAUUCUUUCUUUUCAGCGGCCAUAGGGUGCCGUCUCAUCUCCAGCACACACAUCAUGUACCCUCAGCACACACAUAGUGAUCUCAAUAGCAUUUUUCGUUCACAGUACCCAGGGCUCCUUCAGAGAACCCGAGU